UGCGUAGCAACUCCUAUCCCUACCUCCUCGUGGUACUAGCCGCGGUGAUACUCGUACUCGUACUUGGGGAAGAUCGGGUAACCAACCCCCGGUGGGAACUUUGGUGGUAUGCUGACAGGGAAGG
rnacentral:ribozyme from 1 species